rnacentral:lncRNA from 1 species
AUGCAGGCCUUCAGAACCUAUUCCGGCGAUUAUUUAGGUCUACACCAUGGUCAACAUCUCCUUUUUCACCUCAAAGCUACAAAUCGAGACAUGAGGAGGCAAUCAUGUUGGUUACUAAACAUUGCGGUUCUGGAGUCUUGAUGACCAUCCGCACUGGAAUUUUUUGCAUUAUUUGUUUCUGGUCCUCUCCUCCUGAAUAAUAUUUCUUUAAUUUUGCUCUCUCGCUCAUAAGUUUAUGAAAGUUUGUUCCUUGAUUGGACAAUUGAGUAUUUGAGUUGUCUGAUAGUUUUGAGACAUAUGGCAAAUGAGUCCAAAGUUUUCUUUAGAAGGUCAAAGAAGAAUGCGAUGAUUAUCUGGUUGAAUCUUCACACAACAUGUGCGAUUGUGGAUUGAAGAGAUUCUUUGGGACAUGCAAAAUGACAUGGAUGUAGAGUCACCCAUAUACAAGAGAGCUUGGUCUUCAGCGUGGUUAGGGCAGUUAGCUGUGGAGUCAUCAGUCUUGUGGUCCGAAUCUAAACUGAAUUAUUUGAGAAGCAGUCCUGUUAAGGUACACACAAAGGGGUAACUGGUUUAAUCUACAUCGGCGAUGUUUAUAUAUGAGGCUGAAGGUUCAACGUCAUUCUCAUCCCUCCCUUCAUUUCCCGAAGUUGCAACGUAUCUUAAAAUGGUAUCAUACCCAAUGUUAACAUCUGUUUUGCAUUUGACACUUUUAAGAUAAUUGGCCAGUUUGACCUCAUAAGGGUUAUACAUAACCAAAAUGGUAUCACACUCAAUGUUAACAUCUGUUUGCAUUUGAUUUUUUAAAGAUAAAUAGCCUGUUUAACCUCAUAAAGGUUGCACAUAACCAAAUCAUG